rnacentral:lncRNA from 1 species
CCCAGCUGAAGUAGCAUGUACCAUGGAAAACAGGCCUAAAAGAACGUGCUUCACACAGAACUAUGAAGUUUUGUUAGCCAGAGAAGAUAACUGCAUUCUCCAUAACUUGAAAGUGAUGAGGCAUUACAAUAACAACUGAAUUUGUGCAACUCUUCUGAACUACCCAAACUGGCAGACUUGCUGACUUCAGUGGGAACUUAGCAGUGCAAGAUCUGGAAAUAAAAAUUGAAUGAAGGCAUUAACA